UACGGGGGGAGCAAGCGUUGUUCGGAUUUACUGGGCGUAAAGGGCGCGUAGGCGGCAAUUCAAGUCAUCUGUGAAAUCUCCGGGCUUAACUCGGAACGGUCAGAUGAUACUGCUUUGCUAGAGUGCGGAAGGGGCAAUCGGAAUUCUUGGUGUAGCGGUGAAAUGCGUAGAUAUCAAGAGGAACACCUGAGGUGAAGACGGGUUGCUGGGCCGACACUGACGCUGAGGCGCGAAAGCCAGGGGAGCAAACGGG
rnacentral:rRNA from 1 species